UUGACAUGGUCUCUUUAUUUACUGAUAGU
rnacentral:piRNA from 1 species